UACGGAGGAUCCGAGCGUUAUCCGGAAUUAUUGGGUUUAAAGGGUGCGUAGGCGGCGCACUAAGUCAGGGGUGAAAUACGGUGGCUCAACCAUCGCAGUGCCUUUGAUACUGGUGUGCUUGAAUGUCGUUGGAGACGGCGGAAUGGGACAAGUAGCGGUGAAAUGCAUAGAUAUGUCCCAGAACCCCGAUCGCGAAGGCAGCUGUCUAAGCGACGAUUGACGCUGAUGCACGAAAGCGUGGGGAUCGAACAGG
rnacentral:rRNA from 1 species